rnacentral:rRNA from 1 species
UACGUAGGGUGCGAGCGUUAAUCGGAAUUACUGGGCGUAAAGCGUGCGCAGGCGGCGCGUUAAGACAGGUGUGAAAGCCCCGAGCUUAACUUGGGAAUUGCGCUUGUGACUGGCGUGCUGGAGUGUGGCAGAGGGAGGUGGAAUUCCACGUGUAGCAGUGAAAUCCGUAGAUAUCUGGAGGAAUACCGGAGGCGAAGGCGGCCAACUGGGAAUGCAUUGACACUGAGGUGCGAAAGCGUGGGGAGCAAACAGG